AAUGAACGUUGGCGGCGUGGAUUAGGCAUGCAAGUCGAGCGAGAACCGUAGCAAUACGGGGACAGCGGCGAAAGGGAGAGGAACUCGUGGAUACGUACCCUCGGGUUCAGGAUAGCCAUGGGAAACUAUGGGUAAUACUGGAUGACAUCUCCGGAUCAAAGGUGAGAUUCCGCCCGAGGAGCGGUCCGCGUCCUAUUAGCUAGUUGGCGAGGUAACGGCUCACCAAGGCAAAGAUGGGUACGGGAUGUGAGAGCUUGAUCCCGCGCACUGGGACUGAGACACUGCCCAGACACCUACGGGUGGCUGCAGUCGAGAAUCUUCGGCAAUGGGGGCAACCCUGACCGAGCGACGCCGCGUGCGAGAUGAAGGCCUUCGGGUUGUAAAUCGCUGUCAGAGGGGAGGAAAUGCCGGUGGGUUCUCCCAUCGGUUUGACCUAUCCUCAGAGGAAGGACGGGCUAAGUUCGUGCCAGCCGCCGCAGUAACAC
rnacentral:rRNA from 1 species